rnacentral:rRNA from 1 species
CUACGUGCCAGCAGCCGCGGUAAUACGGAAGGUCCAGGCGUUAUCCGGAUUUAUUGGGUUUAAAGGGUGCGUAGGCCGUUUGAUAAGCGUGCUGUGAAAUAUAGUGGCUCAACCUCUAUCGUGCAGCGCGAACUGUCGAACUUGAGUGCGUAGUAGGUAGGCGGAAUUCGUGGUGUAGCGGUGAAAUGCUUAGAUAUCACGAAGAACUCCGAUUGCGAAGGCAGCUUACCGUAACGUUACUGACGCUUAAGCACGAAGGUGCGGGUAUCGAACAGGAUUAGAUACCCUGGUAGUCCGCACAGUAAACGAUGGAUGCUCGCUGUUGGCCUUUAUGGUCAGUGGCUUAGCGAAAGCGUUAAGCAUCCCACCUGGGGAGUACGCCGGCAACGGUGAAACUCAAAGGAAUUGACGGGGGCCCGCACAAGCGGAGGAACAUGUGGUUUAAUUCGAUGAUACGCGAGGAACCUUACCCGGGCUUGA